rnacentral:tRNA from 1 species
GGGGAUAUAGCUCAGUAGUAGACUGCUUGCCUCACAUGCACAAGGUCCUGGGUUCAAUUCCCAGUGCCCCCC